AUUCAAUUAGUCUAGAGAGGAUGAUGGUUUGUGGGGCCGUAGGAAUAUAACAAAUAUAUUGAAUU
rnacentral:tRNA from 1 species